rnacentral:rRNA from 1 species
UACGAAGGGGGCUAGCGUUGUUCGGAAUUACUGGGCGUAAAGCGUGCGCAGGCGGUUCGUUAAGUCAGAUGUGAAAGCCCCGGGCUCAACCUGGGAACUGCAUUUGAAACUGGCGGGCUUGAGUAUGGCAGAGGGGGGUGGAAUUCCGCGUGUAGCGGUGAAAUGCGUAGAUAUCAGGAGGAACACCUGUGGUGUAGACAGCUUACUGGACCAUCACUGACGCUGAAACACGAAAGCGUGGGUAGCAAACAGG